UCCCGUGAUCCACUGCGGGGAAAGGCGGUAGCGCUGCUGCAGGAGCAGCACCAUCGACGGCGGUUCUUCCAUCCGGGUCUUGGGUGGCGCUGGGUCAUCCUUCUGCAGUUGAGGAAGGACAAACAUUAGCCUCAGAUGUGGUGGCUGGACUUGGCAUUGAAGAUGAUAAAGGAAAGUACUUGGAAACAGUUUUAUGGGGUUUGUAAAUCCUUGGGGGUAGUUGGCUUGUUAAGCAGUUUGCUGAACUUCUCCAGCUGUCUGGUGUGUGGGAAAGUGGGAAGACAGAAAGCACAAAGUUUCAGAAGAAGGGAAGGAAGCUCAGAGAUGAUAGACUUCAGGAAACAACUGCCUUCUGGGAUACUUGAAUAAACAUACUUGGGUUGCCUCUGUUUCUUCUGUGAAUGGGAGAACUCCUUACAUUAGUGCAAGGGAUGAAUAUCCAGAGAAGGCUCCCAAAGAAGAAAGAGGAGGUUUGAGUGGGGAACAGGAAGAAGAAUAUUGUAUGUAGUUCCGUUGCUUGAACAUUUACAGUCUACUGAAUCUUGCUAUCCAGAGAAGUGUCUACGGUUUAACCAUUCUUUUAUCCAUCAGCUAUUUUUGUGUGUGAGUGUUUUAAAAAGUAUUUAAAUGACUUGACCUCUUCGAAGCAUUCAGGUAAACUUGUUCUUUUUAAGAACAUAAUCAACAUACCUUAAGUGAAGAUACCUGCGCUGUGGGAUGAGGUAGUAGGUUGUAUAGUUUUUAGGGUCAUACCCACCACUGGGAGAUAACUAUACAGUCUACUGUCUUUCCUAAAGAGGCAGACAAUCAUCAGUGAUAUCUGUAUGGCUUUGUUACUGGCUAUACAAUUACAACUGGGAGGCUGUAAUGAUGGCUCACCGGACACACUUGUCAAGGAAAUGUGGACUCAAAGAGUUGGAUCCUGAGGAACAUGAGUGGAAAGCUGCUUGUGGAAAGGGACUUCUAUCAUCUCCUCACCAUCUGUUCCUUCUUAGAGUCAGGGGGCCUCCUGAAAGGUGUGAACUAUGUGGGGAGCAGACCUGAAUUGGCCAGAGGUACCUUGUGCAAAGUGUGCCUUUAUCCACUGAUGUUGUUUUCCCUUCUCUGAGCCAGGGCCAAUAGGCAAAGUUGAGGCAUCCUCCUCAGGAGGCAGCCCCCACCUCAUUCUCCCAAGCUAGUCUGCUGCUAGGAAACGGUUCUGAAGUAAGAUGUGCCUGCCAGUCCAGCUGGAUCUUUAUAUGAAAUGGAACUGUAUCAUCAUUUGUUUAGGGCAGCAAAUUGUAUUGGGCUGGCCCACUGGUGCCUUAUUCCGCACUGUUUAGGAUAUCCUUCCAGAGGCUUUUUGUGAAGCGCAGGUGAGAGGAGAUGGAGAUGUCCCUAUCUGCAAGUAAGUCUCAGGAUCCAGUCCAUGGGCAGGUAGACUCAGAACAAAUUAACUGGAAAUAGAACCCUUCUAAAUAUAUUUCUCUUAUCAGGUUGAGGUAGUAGAUUGUAUAGUUGUAGGGCAGUUAUUUUGCCCUCUUCAGGAGAUAACUAUACAAUCUAUUGCCUUCCUUGAGGAGUAAAAAUUCUGCAGUGUUUUUGCUGAGUUUACCAGCAACCUUGGUGGGACCUCUCUUAAUGGAAAAUAAAUGAAAUGAUUUGCACAGAAGAUCUGUAACUAAAUGCAACUCUAUUUUUCAGCAUUAAUUUGAUCAUUUCAGGUAUCUGCAUCUUGAAAAUAUGUGCCACUUGGUUUGAUCUGAGUUGGAUUAAAAAAACAAGUGUUUUGUUUAAGUUUAAUUGGGAGGAUAUUAAGUAUGUAUACUAUUAAUGAUAUAACAAAGGACUAACAGUGAAUGGCUUUGUACUUACGUAGCAAGUGGUUCACCUUCUAUAGUAAUUGAACACAUACAAUUGUGAUACAGCAUCUUGCCUUAUGUUGUAUAAAGUUUGUCUUUCACUACAGCUAAUCUUUUUCUUUUCUUUUUUGAAGGAUUGCUGAAGAAGUGGUGGGUUCCUAGGAAGAGGUAGUAGGUUGCAUAGUUUUAGGGCAGUGGUUUUGCCCGCAAGGAGUUAACUAUACAACCUGCUGCCUUUCUUAGGGCUUUAAUAUUACAACAGGAUGAUAUUGGCUCAGUUUUAAAUCUUCCUUCACUAGGUUGUGGUUUAAGGUUUGGAAUACUUGCUAGAAAAGUUUUGUUCACUGAGUAAGCCAAAAAAUAUGGGGAAACCUUGAGCUACCUUUUAGCCUACAGAAUGUAUCUUUGGCUUUUUGCUAAGAGAAUUCUAUGGUACAAAGUAUUCUAUCCAAACUGAGUAGAAAAGAAAAUGGUGUAAUGGUUUAAACUCUCAAGGCUCCAAAGUGUCAUAUGUUUAAGAAGUACUUAAGAAAGUAAACUAGGCUGCUCAAUAAACGGCUUUGUAGUGGUA